CUUUAAUACCAAAAAAGUUAUGCAAAAUUUUCGAUCUAAAAAAGUACAUGUUAAUUGUAAAAAACCGAAAUUUCGAUUUUUUUCAAAAACUAUAAUUUUUUCAAUUUUAAUAAUUAUGUGCAAGGUGUCCCUUCACUAGGAGUACUUGACUGUUUUUAAAUGAAAGCUCUAUCUUUAAUACCAAAAAAGUUAUGCAAAAUUUUCGAUCUAAAAAAGUACAUGUUAAUUGUAAAAAACCGAAAUUUCGAUUUUUCUCAAAAACUCUAAUUUUUUAAAUUUUGAUAAUUAUGUGCAAAUUGUCCCUUUACUAGGAGUACUUGACUGUUUUUAAAUGAAAGCUCUAUCUUUAAUAACAAAAAAGUUAUGCAAAAUUUUCGAUCUAAAAAAGUACAUGUUAAUUGUAAAAAACCGAAAUUUCGAUUUUUCUCAAAAACUCUAAUUUUUUAAAUUUUGAUAAUUAUGUGCAAGGUGCCCCUUCACUAGGAGUACUUGACUGUUUUUAAAUGAAAGCUCUAUCUUUAAUACCAAAAAAGUUAUGCAAAAUUUUCGAUCUAAAAAAGUACAUGUUAAUUGUAAAAAACCGAAAUUUCGAUUUUUCUCAAAAACUAUAAUUUUUUCAAUUUUAAUAAUUAUGUGCAAGGUGCCUCUUUGCCAGGAGUGCUUGGCAGUUUUUAAAUGAAAGCUCUAUCUUUAAUAACAAAAAAGUUAUGCAAAAUUAUCGAUCUAAAAAAGUACAUGUUAAUUGUAAAAAACCGAAAUUUCGAUUUUUUUCAAAAACUACAAUUUUUUUAGUUUUUGAUUAUUAUGUAUAAGGUGCCCCUUUGCCAGGAGUGCUUGGCAGUUUUUAAAUGAAAGCUCUAUCUUUAAUAACAAAAAAGUUAUGCAAAAUUUUCGAUCUAAAAAAGUACAUGUUAAUUGUAAAAAACCGAAAUUUCGAUUUUUCUCAAAAACUAUAAUUUUUUCAAUUUUGAUAAUUAUGUGCAAGGUGCCCCUUUGCCAGGAGUGCUUGGCAGUUUUUAAAUGAAAGCUCUAUCUUUAAUAACAAAAAAGUUAUGCAAAAUUUUCGAUCUAAA